CCUACGGGGUGCAGCAGUGGGGAAUAUUGGACAAUGGGCGAAAGCCUGAUCCAGCCAUGCCGCGUGUGUGAAGAAGGCCUUCGGGUUGUAAAGCACUUUCAGUGGGGAAGAAAGCCUUAGGGCUAAUACCCUCGAGGAAGGACAUCACCCACAGAAGAAGCACCGGCUAACUCCGUGCCAGCAGCCGCGGUAAUACGGAGGGUGCGAGCGUUAAUCGGAAUUACUGGGCGUAAAGCGCGCGUAGGCGGUCUGAUAAGCCGGUUGUGAAAGCCCCGGGCUCAACCUGGGAACGGCAUCCGGAACUGUCAGGCUAGAGUGCAGGAGAGGAAGGUAGAAUUCCCGGUGUAGCGGUGAAAUGCGUAGAGAUCGGGAGGAAUACCAGUGGCGAAGGCGGCCUUCUGGACUGACACUGACGCUGAGGUGCGAAAGCGUGGGUAGCAAACAGGAUUAGAUACCCUAGUAGUC
rnacentral:rRNA from 1 species